rnacentral:rRNA from 1 species
UACGUAGGGCGCAAGCGUUGUCCGGAAUUAUUGGGCGUAAAGAGCUCGUAGGCGGCUUGUCACGUCGGAUGUGAAAGCCCGGGGCUUAACUCCGGGUCUGCAUUCGAUACGGGCUAGCUAGAGUGUGGUAGGGGAGAUCGGAAUUCCUGGUGUAGCGGUGAAAUGCGCAGAUAUCAGGAGGAACACCGGUGGCGAAGGCGGCUCUCUGGACCGAUACUGACGCUGAGGCGCGAAAGCGUGGGGAGCAAACAGG